rnacentral:rRNA from 1 species
AUUGAACGCUGGCGGCAGGCCUAACACAUGCAAGUCGAGCGGAUGAAGGGAGCUUGCUCCUGGAUUCAGCGGCGGACGGGUGAGUAAUGCCUAGGAAUCUGCCUGGUAGUGGGGGAUAACGUCCGGAAACGGGCGCUAAUACCGCAUACGUCCUGAGGGAGAAAGUGGGGGAUCUUCGGACCUCACGCUAUCAGAUGAGCCUAGGUCGGAUUAGCUAGUUGGUGGGGUAAAGGCCUACCAAGGCGACGAUCCGUAACUGGUCUGAGAGGAUGAUCAGUCACACUGGAACUGUGACACGGUCCAGACUCCUACGGGAGGCAGCAGUGGGGAAUAUUGGACAAUGGGCGAAAGCCUGGUCCAGCCAUGCCGCGUGUGUGAAGAAGGUCUUCGGAUUGUAAAGCACUUUAAGUUGGGAGGAAGGGCAGUAAGUUAAUACCUUGCUGUUUUGACGUUACCAACAGAAUAAGCACCGGCUAACUUCGUG